rnacentral:rRNA from 1 species
GAUGAACGCUGGCGGCGUGCCUAAUACAUGCCAGUCGAGCGAACAGACGAGGAGCUUGCUCCUCUGACGUUAGCGGCGGACGGGUGAGUAACACGUGGAUAACCUACCUAUAAGACUGGGAUAACUUCGGGAAACCGGAGCUAAUACCGGAUAAUAUAUUGAACCGCAUGGUUCAAUAGUGAAAGACGGUUUUGCUGUCACUUAUAGAUGGAUCCGCGCCGCAUUAGCUAGUUGGUAAGGUAACGGCUUACCAAGGCAACGAUGCGUAGCCGACCUGAGAGGGUGAUCGGCCACACUGGAACUGAGACACGGUCCAGACUCCUACGGGAGGCAGCAGUAGGGAAUCUUCCGCAAUGGGCGAAAGCCUGACGGAGCAACGCCGCGUGAGUGAUGAAGGUCUUCGGAUCGCAAAACUCUGUUAUUAGGGAAGAACAAAUGUGUAAGUAACUAUGCACGUCUUGACGGUACCUAAUCAGAAAGCCACGGCUAACUACGUG